rnacentral:rRNA from 1 species
UGGGGGAUAUUGCACAAUGGGCGAAAGCCUGAUGCAGCGACGCCGCGUGGGGUAUGAAGGCUUUCGGGUUGUAAACCUCUUUCGCUAUCGAACAAGGCCCGCUUAGGGUGGUUUGAGGGUAGGUGGAGAAGAAGCGCCGGCUAACUACGUGCCAGCAGCCGCGGUAAUACGUAGGGCGCGAGCGUUGUCCGGAAUUAUUGGGCGUAAAGGGCUUGUAGGCGGCUUGUUGCGCCUGCUGUGAAAACGCGUGGCUUAACUUCGCGCGUGCAGUGGGUACGGGCAGGCUUGAGUCUGGUAGGCGUGACUGGAAUUCCAGGUGUAGCGGUGGAAUGCGCAGAUAUCUGGAGGAACACCGAUGGCGAAGGCAGGUCACUGGGCCAUUACUGACGCUGAGGAGCGAAAGCAUGGGUAGCGAACAGG